rnacentral:rRNA from 1 species
UACGAAGGGGGCUAGCGUUGUUCGGAAUCACUGGGCGUAAAGGGCGCGUAGGCGGCUUGAUAAGUCGGGGGUGAAAGCCUGUGGCUCAACCACAGAAUUGCCUUCGAUACUGUCGAGCUUGAGACCGGAAGAGGUAAGUGGAACUGCGAGUGUAGAGGUGAAAUUCGUAGAUAUUCGCAAGAACACCAGUGGCGAAGGCGGCUCACUGGUCCAUUACUGACGCUGAGGUGCGAAAGCGUGGGGAGCAAACGG